AGCAGCCGCGGUAAUUCCAGCUCCAAUAGCGUAUAUUAAAGUUGUUGCAGUUAAAAAGCUCGUAGUUGAAUUUCGGGAUUGACACAUCGGUCGUGCCUUAAGGGGUAUGAACUGGUGUAGUCAAUUUCUCACCUUCUGGAGAACCGCGAUGCCCUUAAUUGGGUGUCGCGGGGAACCAGGACCUUUACUUUGAAAAAUUAGAGUGUUUAAAGCAGGCAUUUUGCUUGAAUACAUUAGCAUGGAAUAAUAAAAUAGGACGGCAUGAUUCUAUUUUGUUGGUUUCUAGGAUCACCGUAAUGAUUAAUAGGGAUAGUUGGGGGCAUUAGUAUUCAAUUGUCAGAGGUGAAAUUCUUGGAUUUAUUGAAGACUAACUACUGCGAAAGCAUUUGCCAAGGAUGUUUUCAUUAAUCAAGAACGAAAGUUAGGGGAUCGAAGACGAUCAGAUACCGUCGUAGUCUUAACCAUAAACUAUGCCGACUAGGAAUCAGACGAUGUUAAUUUUUAAUGUACUUCGUUUGGC
rnacentral:misc_RNA from 1 species